ensembl:lncRNA
GUUUGCAUCGCAGUAAAGCAGAAGAGCUGCCUGCGGAGUCAACAGAUGCUGAAUAGAGAAUCAAACAUGCAAGCUCUGUUUGUACUGUUCGUGAUGCUAUUAGGAGUCUCUCAUGGCUGAGCACUAACAGUCUGUUAACUGCAGUCUGUUAACAUCAAUACCACAGAUUUGCUUAUUUGAGAGAAAAGAUUUGAAAGCUGCUGAUUGAGUCAACACAGACUGAACAGCUGACAUGGAAGCUGCAGUUGGACUGUUGCUGAUGUUCGGAGUAUCUCAUGGUGUGGAAACUCACUGUGAUGGCAGACAGAAUGGAACUCAGUGUUAUGGAGCUUUGGGAGGAAGUGUGGACAUCCAGCUGAUGGACAACACUUCAGAAAUAAAUAGAUACCAAUUGUUAAAGAGUUCAUUAAAAAUAUUAGAUGUUAGAAAUAAUACGGUUAUUUCUAAUACCAUAAGAGAGAGAGCUCAUUUUCCCAGUAAUGGAACGUUUAGGAUCAAUAAACUGAACAGGACAGACGGUGGUAAUUAUACCCUUCAAACCUUUGAUUCAGAUGGAAAAUCAUCAGGCGAGCAGAUUUUACAGUUGUUUAUUGAAGCUCCUGUGUCCUCUGUCCUGCUGGUCCCUGAGUGUCUGUCCCAGGGAGAGAUGAGGGUGUCCUGCUCCUCUGAGGGAGGGGACAGUCCUCAGUACAGCUGGACUCUGGAUGGACGCACACUGACAGAUGCUGAGCUCCUUUCUGGAAAUAAUAAGACUAACAUCAUCACUCUGAAACAGAACGUCUCAGGACGUCUGGUCUGCUCAGUCAGGAACAACAUCAGUAAUGUCUCCAAAGAGGAGAGAAUAUAUACCUGUGGCUUCAUUUUCAUUAACUGCACUUCAGUCAAUGGAACACAGCUAUCAGGGUGGGUGUAUGAAGCUAAUAACACCCUGUGUAUUAAACCAACAACAGUCCCCAAACAAACUGCUACCGCCAUAGUGUCAAAUAAAAACCCCACUAAGAUUAAACCCUUCAAUCAAACUGUCAGCAGUGAUAACCCAUGGUACAUUACCUAUUUACCACUGAUCGGUGGUGUUCUCUCAGCACUGCUCAUUUUGUUAGUUGUGGGUGUAGCAGGUGCCUGUGAACACAUCAUAAAGCAAAAAACCAAACCUACAGAACAAAGAGCUGAAGAAGAUGACCAGGAAGUAACCUAUGCUGAUGUCAUUAUCACGAAAUGUCAGAGGAAGGAUGCUGAGCAAAGAGCAGAGGCGGAGGUGGAGUAUGGCCAAAUCAAGUUUUCAAGCAACAGGAGAUGAUUUAAGUGGUUGGAGCUUUUACACCGACUGCACCACUGAGGGCAGUCCGAAGGAGGAGGUGACAUCAAGAUGCCAAAAGGUUGUUGCUUCAUGUAAGUCUGUGGCUGAAACACAGUUAAUCUUUCAGCUAACAGCACAUAAAGAACAAAACAAAUAUGAAUAAAAUGAAUGAUGACUGAAUUUUAUUCAGACACUUUAGCUUCCUGUGACACCUUCAUGGGCUACUUUGUCCCUACUCUAAUAAUAACAACAACAACAACAAUAAUAAUAAUAAUAAUAAUAAUAAUAAUAAUAAUAAUAAUAAUAAUAAUAAUAAUAAUAAUGUUCAUCUUUGGCCUGUCUUUAGAUUUAUAUCUGGGGAUCAGCCCCCUCUUCUGUAAGAAAUGCAUGUGUCUUAAUAAAUCUGGAUAAAUGUGAAGCAAGCAUUGUAUAUAAUAACAUUGGAAGAGAAGAGAGAAACAAAAUCCUAUUGACAUUGUUCUGGUGGACUAAUGUGGAAAGCCUUCAUUUGUUUUUCCUCUUCUGUUCUCACCCACUCUUGGAGAUCACUGUAGAUAUGUGUACUUGUUUAGUUUUAAAAUGUUUCCGUUUUUAAUGUGCUGAAAAAAUACAGUUUAAACAAAAACACAUUUUUUGCAAUGAUGUGGAAAAAAGUAUUUGGUAACAUUUAAUAAUGUGAUAAUAAUAAUGUACUGUUUGAUGUCCUGAUAACCUAAUUAAUAACAUAUUUAUUUCAUUAGUAAAAUUAUAUAUUUGCUAAAUUAUGUUUUUUUUAAUAUAAUCUUUUUAUACAAACCUGUAUAAUCUGAUCUUUCUCCUCUUCUACCUGAUAACCAAUAUUUGAUAACCUCCCUGCCGCCAGUUUACCGCCAAGAAAGAAGUGGUUGCAUAUUCUAUCUAACCUUACCACUGUACUCCACACUUGUGUCCAGGUGUCCCUGUUGCUUGACUGGCAGGUUUUUAAAUGGUCAUAUUUGACUUUAAUGUUUAAAUCCAGAUUUUAAACAUCUUAUCAUUUGCAUAGGAACAUGGCUAUUUCUAUAGGUGACUGACUUCUCUCUGUAUGUUGUUCUCUCAUUAUUACGACUGAAACAGUUUCUGAAUGUGUGGUGUCAGCUGUUUUAUAAAAGAAGAUGAGAUAUAAAAUACACAUUUUACAUUUUGAUAUACACUUGUAUUACUAUACUUUGAACUGUGUUUUUGCCUUAAUGUUUUUUUCUUAUGUGUAUUGUAUAUAUGUGGCUUUGAAUGGAACCUGUUUUGGGCAAGACUUCUGAAGCUUUUGAGUAACACAAGUAGCACUUAUUUGUACCUUUUGUUAUGGCAAUCAGUGUGCAUGUUUUUUUAGUAGCUCCUGUUUAAGUAUGUACAACAAAGAAAUCAUAUGUUGCAGCAAUUGUCACAUUAGUUGUUUAAAAUAGUAAUUCUGAGUAGUAUUUACAAAGUGAAGAGUAGAUGUGACUUAUAAUAGCCAGUACUCACUUACAGUUUUUAUCUUUGCAAACAAUAUAUAAACUUUUUAAAGCAAUGUUUUUGUGUGUCUUUUCUUAGUAAGGUUAACAAUGCA